UAAGAGUGGCGGACGGGUGAGUACACAUGGGUGACCUGGCCUGCUGGUGAGGGAUACCGGCGAGAAAUCGCCGACAAGCCCGCAUAGGCUCUUUCUCGUCGGGGAGGGAGAGCAAAGCUCUUUUCGCAAGAGGAGGGCGCCAGAGGAUGGGCCUGUGGCCGAUUAGCUCGUUGGUGGGGUAAGAGCCUACCAAGGCGACGAUCGGUAGCUGGUCUGAGAGGACGAUCAGCCACACUGGGAUUGAGAACGGCCCAGACUCCUACGGGGGGCAGCAGUGAGGAAUUAUCGGCAAUGGGCGCAAGCCUGACCGAGCAACGCCGCGUGCAGGAGGACGCUUUUCGGAGUGUAAACUGCUUUUCCCAGCGCAAGAGGUAGGACGGUACCUGGGGAAGAAGCCCCGGCUAACUACGUGCCAGCAGUCGCGGUAAUACGUAGGGGGCGAGCGUUGUCCGGAGUUACUGGGCGUAAAGGGCGUGCAGGCGGUGGAGCGC
rnacentral:rRNA from 1 species